GAUGGCUUCAGUUCUUCAUGUCGUCUUUCUCAUCGGUCUGAGCUGCGCGCUCUGGACGGCUGGUGAAUGUUGCCCUGGUGGUUGGACUCAGUACGGUUCUCGCUGUUUCUACUUUAAUAAUUACC